GCUUAACGCGAAGAACCUUACCAGGUCUUGAUAUCCCGGUGACCACUAUGGAGACAUAGUUUCCCCUUCGGGGGCAACGGUGACAGGUGGUGCAUGGUUGUCGUCAGCUCGUGUCGUGAGAUGUUGGGUUAAGUCCCGCAACGAGCGCAACCCUUAUUCUUAGUUGCCAUCAUUCAGUUGGGCACUCUAAGGAGACUGCCGGUGAUAAACCGGAGGAAGGUGGGGAUGACGUCAAAUCAUCAUGCCCCUUAUGACCUGGGCUACACACGUGCUACAAUGGACGGUACAAACGGUUGCCAACCCGCGAGGGGGAGCUAAUCCGAUAAAACCGUUCUCAGUUCGGAUUGUAGGCUGCAACUCGCCUACAUGAAGCCGGAAUCGCUAGUAAUCGCGGAUCAGCAUACCGCGGUGAAUACGUUCCCGGGUCUUGUACACACCG
rnacentral:rRNA from 1 species